rnacentral:rRNA from 1 species
UACAGGGGGUGCAAACGUUGCUCGGAAUCAUUGGGCGUAAAGCGCACGUAGGCGGUCUGUUAUGUCGGAUGUGAAAGCCCUUGGCUCAACUGAGGAAGUGCAUCCGAAACUGGCAGGCUAGAGUACUAAAGAGGAUCGCGGAAUUCCCGGUGUAGAGGUGAAAUUCGUAGAUAUCGGGAGGAACACCGGUGGCGAAGGCGGCGAUCUGGGUAGAUACUGACGCUGAGGUGCGAAAGCGAGGGGAGCAAACGGG